AUCGAACGCUGGCGGCAUGCCUUACACAUGCAAGUCGAACGGUAACAGGUCUUCGGAUGCUGACGAGUGGCGAACGGGUGAGUAAUACAUCGGAACGUGCCUAGUAGUGGGGGAUAACUACUCGAAAGAGUGGCUAAUACCGCAUGAGAUCUACGGAUGAAAGCAGGGGAUCGCAAGACCUUGUGCUACUAGAGCGGCCGAUGGCAGAUUAGGUAGUUGGUGGGAUAAAAGCUUACCAAGCCGACGAUCUGUGGCUGGUCUGAGAGGACGAUCAGCCACACGGAGACUGAGACACGGCCCAGCCUCCUACGGGAGGCAGCAGUGGGGAAUUUUGGACGAUGGGCGCAAGCCUGAUCCAGCAAUGCCGCGUGCAGGAUGAAGGCCUUCGGGUUGUAAAUUGCUUUUGUACGGAACGAAAAGCCCUGGGUUAAUACCCUGGGGUCAUGACGGUACCGUAAGAAUAAGCACCGGCUAACUACGUGCCAGCCGCCGCAGUAACAC
rnacentral:rRNA from 1 species